GACGAACGCUGGCGGCGUGCUUAACACAUGCAAGUCGAACGGCAAGGCCCUGCUUUUGUGGUGUGCUGGAGGGGCAAACGGGUGAGUAACACGUGAGUAACCUGCCCUUCACUUUGGGAUGACUUCAGGUAGCUAGAGCUACUACCGGAUCGGAGCUCCUGCUGCAUGGUGGGGGUUGGAACGUUUCGGCGGUCGGGGAUGGACGCGCGGCUUAUGAGCUUGUUGGUGGGGUAGUGGCUUACCAAGGCUUUGACGGGUAGGCGGCCUGUGAGCGUGAACGCGCACAAGGGGACUGAGAGACGGAGCAGUGGGGUACAGUGGACAACAGGGGGAAAUAUGACCCAGUGGGCCCGAGCCUGAGACAACAACGUCGGGUGCGGAAAGACGGCUUGCGGGGUGAGAACCGCUGUAGGCUGAGACGAAGCGGGAGUGACGGUAAUGGGAAAAGAAGCACCGGCUAACUACGUG
rnacentral:rRNA from 1 species